GACUGUACGAUCUGAACUGAAGAUUAGAACUUUCACAGGCCACACACAAUUCAGUUAACUCAAACGAUGCAGCCUUCAGUUUUAAGACUGUCAGUUUUUGAACUGCAGGAAAACUGAACGUUCGCCACACACAUAAACAUUUUGCCAGGUCGUAUCGAGCGAUAAACAAUGUUUUAAAAAAAUAGAAAACAAAAAUUUGCGGCGCUUCUUGUGCUAUUAUUCUUAGUGGAGCCAAUAAAGGCAAAGAAACGUUUUUGGGUAAAAGAUUGGUUGCUACAACGUGAUAAAUGAUCUCAUGUGAAGUUGGUGCGGAAAUUAAGAACUAGUGCAACUGACGACCUUAAAAAUUACCUCAGAAUGGAUGACAUAUGCUUUAAAGAGCUUUUAAAUAUGGUUAAGCCCUUAAUAGCAAAGAAAACUACAAAAACGAGAAAAUCAAUAACAGCCGAAGAACGAUAAGUAGUAAUACUUCUAUAUCUGGCAACAGGGCGAAGCUUAGAAGAUUUAAAAUUUUCGGCAAUUAUUUCUCCACAAGCCCUGAGAAAAAUUAUUCCAGAAACUUGUCUUUGUAUUUAUAGGGCCCUAAAGAAACAAUGUUUAAGGUUACCGAAUGGGAGAAAAUUGCUCAAGAUUAUAACAGCAGAUAGAAUUUCCCCAAUUGUGGGGGUUCGAUCGAUGGUAAACAUAUAGAUAGUGAAGCCUGCGAACAGUGGAUCCUAUUACUUUAAUUAUAAAGAAUAUUUAAGUACCGUUUUAAUGGCUAUUGUAGACGCAAAUUAUGAGUUCAUUUAUGUAGAUGUUGGCUGGAAUGAACGUAUUUCGGACGGAGGCGUCAUUGAAAAUACCCGGUUUUAUGACAAGCUAUUAGCAAAAAAACUAAACAUACCGUCUAAUGAUAAAACAAUAAACAACAUGAAUUUUGU